rnacentral:rRNA from 1 species
UACAGGGGGUGCAAACGUUGCUCGGAAUCAUUGGGCGUAAAGCGCACGUAGGCGGUUCGUUAUGUCGGAUGUGAAAGCCCUUGGCUUAACCGAGGAAGUGCAUCCGAAACUGGCGAGCUAGAGUACGAAAGAGGAUCGCGGAAUUCCCGGUGUAGAGGUGAAAUUCGUAGAUAUCGGGAGGAACACCCGUGGCGAAAGCGGCUCUCUGGGUCUUCUCUGACGCUGAUGCACGAAAGCUAGGGGAGCAAACGGG